CGUACCGUCCAAACGUUAUUCGGAAUUACUGGGCUUAAAGGGUAUGUAGGCGGCGCUGUUAGUCGGGUGUGAAAUCCCAGGGCUCAACCCUGGAACUGCGCCCGAUACUGCAGUGCUUGAGGGAGACAGAGGUAAGCGGAACUGAUGGUGGAGCGGUGAAAUGCGUUGAUAUCAUCAGGAACACCGGUGGCGAAAGCGGCUUACUGGGUCUCUUCUGACGCUGAGAUACGAAAGCUAGGGGAGCGAAGGGGAUUAGAUACCCCCGUAGUCCUAGCCGUAAACUCUGUGCACUUGAUCGAGGGCCCCCCAUAGGCUCUCGGUCGUAGCGAAAGUGUUAAGUGCACCGCCUGGGGAGUAUGGUCGCAAGGCUG
rnacentral:rRNA from 1 species